rnacentral:rRNA from 1 species
AACGAACGCUGGCGGCAGGCCUAACACAUGCAAGUCGAACGCUCCAGCAAUGUAGAGUGGCAGACGGGUGAGUAACGCGUGGGAACCUACCCUUUGGUUCGGAAUAGCCCAGGGAAACUUGGGGUAAUACCGGAUAAGCCCUUCGGGGGAAAGAUUUAUCGCCAAUGGAUGGGCCCGCGUCGGAUUAGCUAGUUGGUGGGGUAGCGGCCUACCAAGGCGACGAUCCGUAGCUGGUCUGAGAGGAUGAUCAGCCACACUGGGACUGAGACACGGCCCAGACUCCUACGGGAGGCAGCAGUGGGGAAUAUUGGACAAUGGGCGCAAGCCUGAUCCAGCCAUGCCGCGUGAGUGACGAAGGUCUUCGGAUUGUAAAGCUCUUUUGGCGGGGACGAUAAUGACGGUACCCGCAGAAUAAGCCCCGGCUAACUUCGUGCCAGCCGCCGCCGUAAAAC